rnacentral:rRNA from 1 species
AUGGCUGUCGUCAGCUCGUGUCGUGAGAUGUUUGGGUUAAGUCCCCGCAACGAGCGCAACCCUUAUCGUUAGUUGCCAGCGGGUUAUGCCGGGCACUCUAGCGGAACCGCCUCGGAUAACGGGGAGGAAGGUGGGGAUGACGUCAAGUCCUCAUGGCCUUUAUGUCCAGGGCUACACACGUGCUACAAUGGUCGGUACAAACUGUCGCAAACCCGCGAGGGGGAGCUAAUCGGAAAAAGCCGACCUCAGUUCGGAUUGGAGUCUGCAAUUCGACUCCAUGAAGCUGGAAUCGCUAGUAAUCGCGGAUCAGAACGCCGCGGUGAAUACGUUCCCGGGCCUUGUACACACCGCCCGUCACAUCACGAAAGUGGACUGCACUAGAAGCCGGCGUGCUAACCCGCAAGGGAGGCAGCCGUCCAAGGUAUGGUUCAUGAUUGGGGUGAAGUCGUAACAAGGUACC